rnacentral:lncRNA from 1 species
UCAUUUCAAUUUCGUUGUCUCAUUUCAUUUGGCUAUCUUUUUGUUUCUUAAAUAUAUUUCUUUUUUGCCAAAGUCAUCUCAAAACCCAGUAAGGUCUUCAACUGUUUCUGCAAAAAAAAGGGUCUUUCUUCACGAAGCAUAAGUGCUUUGAAUUUGAAGCGGAGACGAGACACAAACUUUUGUGUUUUUUAUUCAGAAAAAUAAUCAAAAAGAAAAAUAAAUUUUAAAAUAAUAAUGUAAAACAUUAUUAUACAAUAAAAUAUCAUGUACUUGUACAAUAGAGUUUUUUUAACGUAACUGAUUUAACAAAAUUUCAUCAAUUAUAAUUAACUUUUAACUCUCUAAUAUCUUAAACUAUAUAAUUAAAUGUAAGUAUAUUUAACAUUUACAAUUACAUUUAAUAAAGAAGCCAAUCACAUUUUUUCUUGGUAUAUCUUGAUUUUUGGGUCUGACUUCUGAGACAAAGGCAGGGUUGGAGAAAAGGGAAUGAGAUAUUUCAAGAUCUUGAUUUCUUGGUUUUCAAUUGGGGAUUUUUGGUUUGUUAAUUUGUGAACUUUUGGUUUUGGUGAUUAACAUUUUGAUUUUUCUGUAUAUUUUAUAUUUUUCGGUUGAGGAUGAAGAGGAAAAAUGAUAAAGAAUGUUUGGAUUUUUAUUCGUUUAACAAACAUUGUAGAGGAUGUAAGUGAACAAUUAUUAAAAGAUGACAAUUAUCAAACAAGAGAUGGAAAAUUAAAUAAACUAACUUAAUACAAGAAAUGAAUGAAAGACGGUCCAAUAAUAGAUAUGUAACAGAAUUAGGGGAAAAAACAUAGCCAGACAGUGUGAUGGUAUUGCUUCAAACAGUAAAGUGGACAGCAUAAGAACUCUAUCACCUCACUUAUUCGAUCCAUUAUACCACACACAUACGCAGUCACUACUGCCUGAUUAUAUCCUAUCCUAUUUAAGGUUACGUUAUUAUAAACUAACAAGAAAAAUACUUAAAUGGGACUGUCCUUAUUAAUUAUGAUAAAGAAUUUUGUUUAUCAUUUCUUAAACAAGUCUCCAGCAGCCUUAGUAGCCUUAGCUACAGGACCUUCAGCAGGUUUGGGUGCAGGCUUAAACUGAUGGAGAGAAUCACCAGCCUUAUUUAAAAGAUUCCCUGUAGCAUCUGCUGCCUUACCAGUUUGUUCCACAACAGUUGCUCCUGCUGUUCCUGCUGCACUCUUUGCGUUCUCAAAAGCCUCAGUUGGUGAAAACUUAUUUGCUUCUCCCUUGCCUGCCAUUUUUAAUAACUUAAUUGAUUGGAGGAUAGUUCUGUAAGACUUUAACAAGGUUGUCCAAUUAUUUAUAUAAAAUUAAGGGGGAUUUUUGCAAGAGAAAAUAUCUUUGAAAAUUGUGGUUCACACCUUAUCGAUUUGGAUAUUGAUUACGUGUCACUUCAAAUACUCAUGUCGGCAACACCCAUUUUUUCUUUUUUAUUCGAUUUUUAGUUUUUGCACCAAAUUCCG